AGGGGGAAGGGAUAUAGGUCAUGGUUCUCAAACUUUAGCAACCCGAGGACCCCCAUUUUGACUUAAAAUUUUCAGGGACUCUCAAGCCCCUUCUCCCUGCU